rnacentral:pre_miRNA from 1 species
GAAAUACUCCCUCCUUUCAAAAAUUCGUGUCUUAGAUUUGUCUAAAUACAGGUGUAUCAAGUCACAUUUUAGUAUUAGGUACAUCCGUACCUAGGUAAAUGUAAGACAAUUUUUUUUGGAAUGGAUGGAGUAUAAG